GAUGAACGCUGGCGGCGUGCCUAAUACAUGCAAGUCGAGCGAACAGACGAGGAGCUUGCUCUUCUGACGUUAGCGGCGGACGGGUGAGUAACACGUGGAUAACCUACCUAUAAGACUGGGAUAACUUCGGGAAACCGGAGCUAAUACCGGAUAAUAUAUUGAACCGCAUGGUUCAAUAGUGAAAGACGGUUUUGCUGUCACUUAUAGAUGGAUCCGCGCCGCAUUAGCUAGUUGGUAAGGUAACGGCUUACCAAGGUAACGAUGCGUAGCCGACCUGAGAGGGUGAUCGGCCACACUGGAACUGAGACACGGUCCAGACUCCUACGGGAGGCAGCAGUAGGGAAUCUUCCGCAAUGGGCGAAAGCCUGACGGAGCAACGCCGCGUGAGUGAUGAAGGUCUUCGGAUCGUAAAACUCUGUUAUUAGGGAAGAACAAAUGUGUAAGUAACUAUGCACGUCUUGACGGUACCUAAUCAGAAAGCCACGGCUAACUACGUG
rnacentral:rRNA from 1 species